UGGGAUCACAAUAGGAAAGAGUUUGGGAAAGUGCCGCUGAGAGUUUAGGAAUAAACAACUCCCAUGGGCAGGCUGUCCAUAAUUGGCCAUGACAAGGCUUCUUUCUCCAGAGAGCUGGAGCUGGCCUGUGAGGAAGCAGAAUGAAUCACUGCUUUGGUCCAAUUUGGCAAGUGCCGUGAUUUAGCCCUGCUUUGCACGGGAGGAGAUGAUGAUACAGACUGAAAGGCAGGAGAAAUGUAGCCAAAGGCUUCCAAGCUGGGAGAUGAGUUUGGGUUCCCGCUCAUUUCUUGUCGGUUUACUCAGAUCCUUAGAAAGAAACCCAGGCAAAAACCACUGAUACAAAACAGUUCUCUUUAUCAACAAUGUAGAGGAGACAAUGGGGACUCCUCAACACAAAGCUCAUACAAACAAGAAUAAACAUUUUAUUUUGCAUUGUUAAAAUAGCAUUCAAUAUAUAAGACCUCCUUCCAACCCUCAGCUUUGUUAACUAUUUCUGUUGACUUUCUGCUUCCGGAUACAGAUUUACAGGGGGAUAUCAUAGAGGUUGGAACUGGUGUCCUGCAGCAUGAUAAUGCCCACGUGGCUGUGCAGCCUUCUGUGAAGAGGAGGAUUGAGUGUGGUUUCCUCAAGCUGCCCUGUGCCCUUGGAAAAGUCCCAUCUUCUUCUGAAUAUGAGGAAAAUGGAAUACCGUCAGCUGAAGAUCUUCCUAACCAACCCCACUUCUAUCCCCAGUGCAAAGGAAGAAGGAAGCUUCCUUCAAAGCAAGAUCCUUCCAAAAAGAAGCCACAGAUAAUCUUUAUUUCCAUUGUCCCUUCUCCUGCUCCUUCGGAGAGCAGGCAGAUGAAACAAAAAUCUUCACUGAAACAUGAAAGAGAGGUAGCUCAAGAAAAUCAAAUCUGCUUCUUGUAAUACUGUGGUCAGGGAAGCUGCAUUAAGGACUGUGGAGUGCCAGACUACCAACGAGAUGUGAUCUGUCAAAGUGCCAUGGGCAGAAACUGAUCAUUGAGUUGAAUAAGACACAGAAGUUUCUCCUCUCCAGGUCCUGCUAAGAGAGUGAAAAGGUGCCUGUAGAUAACUUGUCCCCACCACCUCGGUGGCCCUGAGACCCCAUGAGAGGUGCGUAUGGAGGCUGGGAAUAAUCCUCCUCUCUUUCACAAGUGCUACAUGCUGUUGCAGCCCACACAUGACUUUUGCUCC